rnacentral:rRNA from 1 species
UACGGAGGAGGCAAGCGUUAUCCGGAAUUAUUGGGCGUAAAGCGUCCGUAGGUGGCUCUUCAAGUCUGCUGUCAAAGAGUGAGGCUCAACCUCAUAAGAGCAGUGGAAACUACAAGGCUAGAGUACGUUCGGGGCAGAGGGAAUUCCUGGUGUAGCGGUGAAAUGCGUAGAGAUCAGGAAGAACACCGGUGGCGAAAGCGCUCUGCUAGGCCGUAACUGACACUGAGGGACGAAAGCUAGGGGAGCGAAUGGG